rnacentral:rRNA from 1 species
UACGAAGGGUGCAAACGUUGCUCGGAAUUAUUGGGCGUAAAGCGCGUGUAGGCGGCCUAUCAAGUCAGAUGUGAAAUCCCCGGGCUCAACCUGGGAACUGCAUUUGUGACUGCAUCGCUAGAGUACGGCAGAGGGGAUGGAAUUCCGCGUGUAGCAGUGAAAUGCGUAGAUAUGCGGAGGAACACCGAUGGCGAAGGCAAUCCCCUGGGCCUGUACUGACGCUCAUGCACGAAAGCGUGGGGAGCAACAGG